GUAGUCCACGCCCUAAACGAUGUCAACUGGUUGUCGGGCCUUCAUUGGCUUGGUAACGUAGCUAACGCGUGAAGUUGACCGCCUGGGGAGUACGGUCGCAAGAUUAAAACUCAAAGGAAUUGACGGGGACCCGCACAAGCGGUGGAUGAUGUGGAUUAAUUCGAUGCAACGCGAAAAACCUUACCUACCCUUGACAUGUACGGAACCCUGCUGAGAGGUGGGGGUGCCCGAAAGGGAGCCGUAACACAGGUGCUGCAUGGCUGUCGUCAGCUCGUGUCGUGAGAUGUUGGGUUAAGUCCCGCAACGAGCGCAACCCUUGUCCCUAGUUGCUACGCAAGAGCACUCCAGGGAGACUGCCGGUGACAAACCGGA
rnacentral:rRNA from 1 species